rnacentral:tRNA from 1 species
GGAGAGGUGUCCGAGCGGUCGAAGGAGCACGCCUGGAAAGUGUGUGUACGUCUCAAGCGUACCGAGGGUUCGAAUCCCUCCCUCUCCGCCA